UACGUAGGGGGCAAGCGUUGUCCGGAUUUAUUGGGCGUAAAGAGCGUGUAGGCGGCCAGGCAGGUCCGUUGUGAAAACUCGAGGCUCAACCUCGAGAUGUCGAUGGAAACCGUCUGGCUAGAGUCCGGAAGAGGAGUGUGGAAUUCCUGGUGUAGCGGUGAAAUGCGCAGAUAUCAGGAAGAACACCAAUGGCGAAGGCAGCUCGCUGGGACGGUACUGACGCUGAGGCGCGAAAGCGUGGGGAGCAAACAGG
rnacentral:rRNA from 1 species